rnacentral:rRNA from 1 species
GACGAACGCUGGCGGCGCGCCUAACACAUGCCAGUCGAACGGAGCUGCGAGAAGCUUGCUUUUCUUAGCUUAGUGACGAACGGGUGAGUAACGCGUGAGUAACCUGCCCUGGAGUGGGGGACAACAGUUGGAAACGACUGCUAAUACCGCAUAAGCCCACGAUCCGGCAUCGGAUUGAGGGAAAAGGAUUUAUUCGCUUCAGGAUGGACUCGCGUCCAAUUAGCUAGUUGGUGAGGUAACGGCCCACCAAGGCGACGAUUGGUAGCCGGACUGAGAGGUUGAACGGCCACAGUGGGACUGAGACACGGCCCAGACUCCUACGGGAGGCAGCAGUGGGGGAUAUUGCACAAUGGGGGAAACCCUGAUGCAGCGACGCCGCGUGGAGGAAGAAGGUUUUCGGAUUGUAAACUCCUGUCGUUAGGGACGAUAAUGACGGUACCUAACAAGAAAGCACCGGCUAACUACGUG